rnacentral:lncRNA from 1 species
GCAAAUUCAACAUGAACGGUCUGGCUGGAGUCAACGCCCUUGUGUGGGUCGCCGUCGCAUUAGCUGUGCUGAUCAAUGAAGCUGCUGCUUCUCUAGGAGGCGGUGUUGGAGGUGGCAGAGAAGAUACCGCAAGUGAAUGAAUCAAAAAUAGAGCCAGACUCAUGCCUAAGUCCAGAAGUUUGCGAAUCCGCUUUCGCCUUAAAUAAAGUGAUGAAUUU